GUCGAGCGGUAGCACAGAGAGCUUGCUCUCGGGUGACGAGCGGCGGACGGGUGAGUAAUGUCUGGGAAACUGCCUGAUGGAGGGGGAUAACUACUGGAAACGGUAGCUAAUACCGCAUAAYGUCGCAAGACCAAAGUGGGGGACCUUCGGGCCUCAUGCCAUCAGAUGUGCCCAGAUGGGAUUAGCUAGUAGGUGGGGUAACGGCUCACCUAGGCGACGAUCCCUAGCUGGUCUGAGAGGAUGACCAGCCACACUGGAACUGAGACACGGUCCAGACUCCUACGGGAGGCAGCAGUGGGGAAUAUUGCACAAUGGGCGCAAGCCUGAUGCAGCCAUGCCGCGUGUGUGAAGAAGGCCUUCGGGUUGUAAAGCACUUUCAGCGGGGAGGAAGGCGRURAGGUUAAUAACCUUGUCGAUUGACGUUACCCGCAGAAGAAGCACCGGCUAACUCCGUGCCAGCAGCCGCGGUAAUACGGAGGGUGCAAGCGUUAAUCGGAAUUACUGGGCGUAAAGCGCACGCAGGCGGUCUGUCAAGUCGGAUGUGAAAUCCCCGGGCUCAACCUGGGAACUGCAUUCGAAACUGGCAGGCUAGAGUCUUGUAGAGGGGGGUAGAAUUCCAGGUGUAGCGGUGAAAUGCGUAGAGAUCUGGAGGAAUACCGGUGGCGAAGGCGGCCCCCUGGACAAAGACUGACGCUCAGGUGCGAAAGCGUGGGGAGCAAACAGGAUUAGAUACCCUGGUAGUCCACGCCGUAAACGAUGUCGAUUUGGAGGUUGUGCCCUUGAGGCGUGGCUUCCGGAGCUAACGCGUUAAAUCGACCGCCUGGGGAGUACGGCCGCAAGGUUAAAACUCAAAUGAAUUGACGGGGGCCCGCACAAGCGGUGGAGCAUGUGGUUUAAUUCGAUGCAACGCGAAGAACCUUACCUGGUCUUGACAUCCACAGAACUUAGCAGAGAUGCUUUGGUGCCUUCGGGAACUGUGAGACAGGUGCUGCAUGGCUGUCGUCAGCUCGUGUUGUGAAAUGUUGGGUUAAGUCCCGCAACGAGCGCAACCCUUAUCCUUUGUUGCCAGCGGUUAGGCCGGGAACUCAAAGGAAACUG
rnacentral:rRNA from 1 species